AUGGAUGGAAGGAGCCACGGUGACCAUCAUGCCAACUCAAGUGCUAACGAUCCUAUAUUAUACUCGUCAUUAGAUGAGAGCAGGCUUACCCUGAAAUUUUGUGUCGAACGGGAUUGUAAGUCCAAAAGCGACAAAAUUUCUUGGGACCAAUGCAUGUGCUGCCUUACGCUGCCGGAUCUUCCAUGCUGGCGUACACGAGACGAGUGUAAAGCAAAUUGCCCGGCGUGCAACCCCAAUUGUUAG
rnacentral:rRNA from 1 species